CAAUAUUCUAUACAAACAGUAGUCGUAUAUUCAUGUCGCAUGUACUUAUACUGGCUAUACCGCAGGUAAUAAUUCUGUAUUCUGUAUACACACACGUAUAAUGUAUAAUAUAAUAUAUUGUACAAUUGGCGGAGAAUUAACAUGGCCGAGGACAAGCGUUUGUUCUACAUGAAGUUACUUUUGGAACGAAGAAAACCUUCAUGGUAUGAUUGCGUUACUACCUAUAUACCUAAGCUCGAUCGCCUAUACUGCGGACCGACGGUGCAGCACAAUGAACUCUGUGGACCAGCUGAAAACGUAUUCCAGUCGAACGAUGCUCGUUGAAGUAUGUCGUUCCGUUGGUGGACUUCCAAGUAAAAUUCACUCGAAAAGCAUACACAGGUCACAGACUUCACAGGAUCAUUAUCCAGAUACAGUGCUUAUUUUUGUGUGUGCAGUAUAAAGUGUGCAGUAUACCAUUAUUUCACUGUCAAAUUGUAAGUAUACAAUGGAACAACCAUUAAAAAAAAUGUAAUUAUUACUUUAAUGUUGAAGCUUAAAAUUUGCAUGGAAUUUCAUAAAUGUAAGACAAUAUUCAUAAAACUUCAUUAUAUUGCUUAUUCAUCAUAUUGCUUGCAGUCUCUUGGAAACUUUAACCCAUCAACUAAAGUAUUGAAUAAUUCAUCAUUAAAUUGGAUUAAUAAAUAGAUUAAAUUUAAAUAAAAAUCUAUAAGCUUGAGAACAAUUUGUCAUGCUUUUAUGGAAAACGUUUUUAUAACAUUUUGUUCUGCAGUUCAACAUUUAGUAAAAUAGUAAAACCGUGUAUUAGCAAGACGCCGGACUUAACCAACAACUGAAAACUCUUUAAACUUUUAAUGAAGUUUUAAUAUAAAAUAAAUAAAACAAAUUAUUAUGUAUUUUAUACAAA